rnacentral:rRNA from 1 species
UACGGUAGGGGGCAAGCGUUGUCCGGAAUCAUUGGGCGUAAAGAGCGUGUAGGCGGCCAGAUAAGUCCGCUGUGGAAAUCUCGAGGCUCAACUUCGAGCUGUCGGUGGAAACUGUCUGGCUAGAGUCCGGAAGAGGAGAAUGGAAUUCCUGGUGUAGCGGUGAAAUGCGCAGAUAUCAGGAGGAACACCGGUGGCGAAGGCGGGUCUCUGGGCCGAUACUGACGCUGGAGGAGCGAAAGCGUGGGGAGCGAACAGG